GCUGGAGAUAAGAUAGGAGAUGGCUCAAUAGAAGAUGAUUAUUCUGCUCUCCACCAACUUUCCUCUGAUGUAGAAGGAGAUGGAAGGCCUGAGAAUAAAAAAGCUCUACAAUGGUAGGAAGUGGAAGGAGUAAAAAGAAAAAAAAUAGACUGGUAGUAGAAGGGAGGAGCUCUCUUGCACUGACACAGAUGGAAGUCAGACCACUCAUCCCUAACACCCUCCCCUCAAGGGAAGUGCAAAGCAGAAGAUGGAAGGCACUGAAGUCAGAGGAAGGCCCGUAUCCUCUCCUUACUUGAGGCUGGACAUCAGGCAGAUGCAGUGAGAGGCAGAGGUCAUGUUGCAAAGGGAAGUAAAAAUUGGGUAGAUGGAAAUUGGUCCAGGUGCUUCUGCCUUCCCUCAAGGGACACAGACAACAGGAGAUGGAUGGAAAGUGUGACUCUGUCAGGAAGAAGUGACUCCACUUCUCACCUUUCUCAUCUUUUAUCACCUCAACAAAUUAGAGUGUAUAAAUAUAAUAGAAUCUUAUUGAACUGUAAGAAAUGAUGAAAUCUAGGAAGACUGAUAUGAACUGAUGCAGAAUGAAGUGAGCAGAACUUGGAGAACAAUCUAUACAAUAACAACACCAUAGUAAAGACAAACUUUGAAAGCAUUAAGAACUUGGAAGCAUACAAAGACCAGUUGAUGCAAUGCAAUCUGGUCCAGAUUGGUGAUGAAGCACUGACCCAGAGGGGAUCAAUUCAAGGUACACAAUGAGAUUAUCUGUUUCAGACAUCAUCCACAAGUUUGGGAAAGAAACCAUGUGCACCGAAAAUGAUGGCUGUAUACUUGCCUUAUGCUACAGUACUAUCAUGUUUCUCCAGCAGUUUGCCUGCAUAUUGAAUGACGAAAUAAGUAAUGGGGCAUUAGGGACUCUUGAAACAUAUCUAGCUGCGUCCCUCAGCACUUUUCCUUCCAUUCCCUUUACCACUCAAGGCACUUAGGCACUCAGUUAGCUCUUCUCCAUAUGUCUUUUUAGUUUGUGCUCUUAUGCUGGCUU
rnacentral:lncRNA from 1 species